GUCUAUGGCUAUGCCGCCUUGAACAAGUCCAAUCCCGUUUGAUCUCGGAAGCUAAGCAGGGUUGGGCCUGGUUAGUACUUGGAUGGGAGACCACCUGGGAAGACCAGGUGCUGUAGGCA
rnacentral:rRNA from 1 species